rnacentral:rRNA from 1 species
CCCUUAGAUGUCCGGGGCCGCACGCGCGCUACACUGAAGGAAUCAGCGUGGCUUUCUCCCUGACCCGAAAGGGUUGGGAAACCCGUUGAAUCUCCUUCGUGAUAGGGAUUGGGGCUUGAAAUUGUUCCCCAUGAACGAGGAAUUCCCAGUAAGCGCGAGUCAUAAGCUCGCGUUGAUUACGUCCCUGCCCUUUGUACACACCGCCCGUCGCUACUACCGAUUGAAUGGUUUAGUGAGGCCUUCGGAUCCGCGACUCGUUUUGUGGAGAAGUUGGACAAACUCAGUCAUUUAGAGGAAGUAAAAGUCGUAACA